AUACUCUGGUUUCUCUUCAGAUUGUAUAAAUCUUUUGCCUUUUACUAAAGAUUUCUGUGGAGAGGAACAAUUCUGAGUCUUAAUCCAAUUUUUUGAGGCAUUGCAUCUGUAAGGCU
rnacentral:snRNA from 1 species